rnacentral:rRNA from 1 species
CCUACGGGUGACAGCAGUGGGGAAUAUUGCACAAUGGGGGAAACCCUGAUGCAGCAACGCCGCGUGGGUGAAGGAGCGUUUCGGCGCGUAAAGCCCUGUCAGCGGGGAAGAAGAAAGACGGUACCCGACCAAGAAGCCCCGGCUAACUACGUGCCAGCAGCCGCGGUAAUACGUAGGGGGCGAGCGUUAUCCGGAAUUACUGGGUGUAAAGGGAGCGUAGCCGGCCUGCCAAGUCUGGUGUGAAAACCCGGGGCCCAACCCCGGGCCUGCAUUGGAAACUGGCGGGCUGGAGUGUCGGAGGGGCAGGCGGAAUUCCUAGUGUAGCGGUGAAAUGCGUAGAUAUUAGGAGGAACACCGGUGGCGAAGGCGGCCUGCUGGACGAUGACUGACGCUGAGGCUCGAAAGCGUGGGGAGCAAACAGGAUUAGAUACCCCAGUAGUC